UUGAUGUUCUAAAUGGAACGGUUAGAACUUUUUCAUGUAUGAUCCGCAUUGCAAAGUAGGGAUCUUUCUCUUUGUUCAAAGAAAAAAAAUACUCUUGCAGUCCUCCCAUGUUCCUGGAUUUUUCUUCAACUAAUCCUUUUGGGCAUUGUCUGCAAAACCUAAUCGGUAGUUUUUUGCAUUACCUUCAUGGUGUGGAGUCCCUGAUCAAGGCCAGGGCGCCGUGGAACUCAUGCUCAAGAGAGAGUGCUAUACCUGUGUUGCAUAGAAAACUGAUUCCUUCACUGGAGGAAUGAGCGCUUCAGGAGCUCCUCUUCACCAGCAGCAAGGUCAUAUUUAGUCCAUAUGAAGCAAGUACUUUUUGUAUCACACAAAGGAACUGUUGUAUUCUCCAACUUUUGCAGCAG